rnacentral:rRNA from 1 species
AGAGUUUGAUCAUGGCUCAGGAUGAACGCUGGCGGCGUGCCUAACACAUGCAAGUCGAGCGAUUCUCUUCGGAGAAGAGCGGCGGACGGGUGAGUAACGCGUGGGUAACUUGCCCUGUACACACGGAUAACAUACCGAAAGGUAUGCUAAUACGAGAUAAUAUGCUUUUAUCGCAUGGUAGAAGUAUCAAAGCUCCGGCGGUACAGGAUGGACCCGCGUCUGAUUAGCUAGUUGGUAAGGUAACGGCUUACCAAGGCGACGAUCAGUAGCCGACCUGAGAGGGUGAUCGGCCACAUUGGAACUGAGACACGGUCCAAACUCCUACGGGAGGCAGCAGUGGGGAAUAUUGCACAAUGGGCGAAAGCCUGAUGCAGCAACGCCGCGUGAGCGAUGAAGGCCUUCGGGUCGUAAAGCUCUGUCCUCAAGGAAGAUAAUGACGGUACUUGAGGAGGAAGCCCCGGCUAACUACGUGCCAGCAGCCGCGGUAAUACGUAGGGGGCUAGCGUUAUCCGGAAUUACUGGGCGUAAAGGGUGCGUAGGUGGUUUCUUAAGUCAGAGGUGAAAGGCUACGGCUCAACCGUAGUAAGCCUUUGAAACUGGGAAACUUGAGUGCAGGAGAGGAGAGUGGAAUUCCUAGUGUAGCGGUGAAAUGCGUAGAUAUUAGGAGGAACACCAGUUGCGAAGGCGGCUCUCUGGACUGUAACUGACACUGAGGCACGAAAGCGUGGGGAGCAAACAGGAUUAGAUACCCUGGUAGUCCACGCCGUAAACGAUGAGUACUAGCUGUCGGAGG